UUCGAAAUAAUUACGCACUUAAGAAAUUUAAUAUGCACAAUGAGUAAACAUUGGCUUGCUUUAUUGUAAUUUCACUGCGCAAGAACACAAACGCGCGGAGGACGAGGAAGAUGCGAAUUGUUCGCGUUUCUUGCGGUGGUGGCCAUUUAAACAGCUCUCAAUGCCCCGCUGGACCCUGAAACCGUGCACCAAACCUGGGAACUAACGGCUUUCCCGCAUUUGAUGGUGUAAUGCCACCUCAUCCUGCUAACGCUGUGAAGACUCGAAGUAGUCUGGUCACGACCCAACUGUGGAAGCUUUCAAGAGCCAUAUGCCGAUUGUCUCAAUUGGUCGACGACGAAAAAAAAAAAAAAGUUUAUAAAUAAACGAUUUACGUUUCGGCGCAGGUAUCGCAUCGCUGUCGCAACCGUGCGAAGACAAUAAACAACCCUGCUUGUUUCGUA
rnacentral:lncRNA from 1 species